CCUACGGGGGGCUGCAGUGGGGAAUAUUGCACAAUGGGGGAAACCCUGAUGCAGCGACGCCGCGUGAGUGAAGAAGUAUUUCGGUAUGUAAAGCUCUAUCAGCAGGGAAGAUAAUGACGGUACCUGACUAAGAAGCCCCGGCUAACUACGUGCCAGCAGCCGCGGUAAUACGUAGGGGGCAAGCGUUAUCCGGAUUUAUUGUGUUUAGGGGGUGCGUAGGCGGACUGUUAAGUCAGCGGUAAAAGCCCGGGGCUCAACCCCGGCGAGCCGUUGAAACUGGCUGUCUUGAGAUGUCGAGAGGUAUGCGGAAUGCGCGGUGUAGCGGUGAAAUGCUUAGAUAUUGCGCAGAACUCCGAUUGCGAAGGCAGCAUACCGGCGGCGAUCUGACGCUGAGGCACGAAAGCGUGGGUAUCGAACAGGAUUAGAUACCCGAGUAGUC
rnacentral:rRNA from 1 species